rnacentral:rRNA from 1 species
AGCGAACGCUGGCGGCAGGCUUAACACAUGCAAGUCGAACGCAUCCUUCGGGGUGAGUGGCAGGCGGGUGAGUAACACGUGGGAACAUACCUUUUGGUUCGGAAUAACUCAUGGAAACGUGAGCUAAUACCGGAUACGCCCUUUUGGGGAAAGAUUUAUUGCCGAAAGAUUGGCCCGCGUCUGAUUAGCUAGUUGGUGAGGUAAUGGCUCACCAAGGCGACGAUCUGUAGCUGGUCUGAGAGGAUGAUCAGCCACACUGGGACUGAGACACGGCCCAGACUCCUACGGGAGGCAGCAGUGGGGAAUAUUGGACAAUGGGCGCAAGCCUGAUCCAGCCAUGCCGCGUGAGUGAUGAAGGCCUUAGGGUUGUAAAGCUCUUUUAUCCGGGAAGAUAAUGACUGUACCGGAAGAAUAAGCCCCGGCUAACUUCGUGCCAGCAGCCGCCGUAA